UCUCUCUCUCACUCUCUCUCUCUGUGCCUCGAAGGCUUCGCUGAAGAGCUUUCUCUCGUACAAACGGUCAAUGACUUUAUUUUCCACUCUUUCUCCCACUUCUUCUUUUCCUUCUCAUUCUUCUAUGGCUUCCCAUUCCUCUCUGCAACUUUCCAAGUCAUUCCACUUCUCAAAGUCUUUUGGAUCAAAAAGCAAAAGGACCAUGGCUGAUGUACCCAAAUUAAAUAUAAAUGGGAAGAAACUUGGAAAUUUUCUCUUUCUGAAGAAUAGUGGUUCACUUGAAUUGUUCUUUGCACAUUGCUGUUCUUCACACUGUUUUUCUUUAAGAGCAUUAUCAUCUAUGGCCUCUUCUGAUUCUGCUGAAGAAACUAUUGGUGACAAUAGUGCCGCUGUGGCUAAAGCUGACAAUAAUGAAAUGGAGUUCAAUCGUGUAAAUUGUCUUUUAUGGGUAUUGCAUGAAUCUGCUGCAAGCUUUUCAAUUGCAAUUCAGUCACUUAAACUGCCAGGAAGAAGUGCAGAGCUCGCGAUGGCUUGGAACGGGAAGGAUGUUCAUGAAUGGCAUAAACGUAUUGCUUACCAGGUAAGUGCCUAGCAUAUCAAAGCAUUAACAUUCUUCUCUUCUUUUCUUUUCUUUUAUUUUCUCUUUGUUUUUUUGGGUUCAUAAAUUUGACAUUUUAGAAUUAUCAUACACUUAUGUUUGCUUAUAUUGAAGAUUUUCUUGCUAUUUCUGGUGUUCUAGGUUAUUUACAAUCAUUUCUACAUAUUGCACAUCCAUUCACACGUUUCUGCUCAUAUUUUGUUCCUUGCCUUUUAACAACUAUCACUGAGAUAAUUUAAUUGAUUGGAGGUGAACCAUCUUUAUGAAUAAUUAGAAGACAUGAAAAAUUGGAACAAGACCAUUGACUAUUGAGGCUGUCCAGGUAGCUGUUUAUGCUUUGUUAAAAACGGCAAUUGAAGUAGAGAUUUUGCUUUCUCUUGAUCGUCACAACAAUGCAUCUCCCGUUAAAGAAAUCUUGACCCCAAAGAUAAACUUGGUGGGAGAGUACAUUGAAAGUCAGUUGAACAUGAAGCAUGCUGACUUAGUACAAUGGUUUAGAGUGGUGGAAUUGCCUCGUAUUGCAGGUUUUUUCAUUCCCUUGCUGAGGAAGUGGUCCGCGGAAUAUGCUGGAAGUGGUGUUGCAGGAAUCAUUGUGGCAAUAAGCUGCUGCGCUGCUGUUGCAAAGCUGGGUUCUGGAAGAAUUUCAUGUCCUAUGUUUACACUAUCAGUUGAGGAUGUAUUAGUAGAGCUCAUGGAUCUUUCACAUAGUCUUGUAGAAGUGGACAAAUUGCAUCAAUUAGCAACUGAGGCUGGAUUUGAACUCAACUUCCUCUCCCAUUUUGGAGCAAAGGUACUGCCUUGCAACAAAAUUGAAGAGCUAGAAUUCUGGAUUGGACUGGCUCAGCGAAAACUCUCAGUGGCAUUCAGCAGAGAAAUGGUAGUCAGAGGCACAGAAAACUCUCAUGAAAAGGUCAAUUCUAUGGUUCAGGAAAGUCUCCUGGUCAAUUUUAAUUUUUUGAGAAGCGGUAAAGUUAUUUUAGUUUUCAUGAUGUUAUUUUAGUUUUCAUGUUUUAACAGAAAAUUUAUGUAGAAGACUGAGUUCGUUUCCAGUAGAUGAGUUUUAGACAAAAAUAUAUUGGUCAAGUCCAAAUCCAGAUUUGAUGCUUGUAACAACGCAUAUCUGGUGUAUAUAAAUUCCACAUCAUUUUUUCUAACGUUAUCUGUAUGGAAUUUCUGGCAUUAGUUAAAACUACAUUCUUUUUGACAUUUUAAUAAGGUAUCUCUUACAAAUCUUUAACAGGUUCAGACAGAUAGCUUGGCUACUCUUGGACUUUUUGCCUUCCUGGGAAGAAAGACUAGAUUAUUCUUGUCAAGAAUGAAUGUUAAGGAUCUUGAUGAGCUGGUUAAAGACCUCCUCAAUUACUUGGAGUGUGGUAUCCUUUUCAUUUACCCUGAACUUGCUUCCAUAUCAGCAUAUGAAUGUUUCAUGGAGGCAGUAACUGAAGAAAUCGGAUGGCUUGAUUUUUAUGGUACCUGUUGUCCUCUAAGCAAUCAAGAAAGGAAAAGG
rnacentral:misc_RNA from 1 species